CGGCCACACUGGGACUGAGACACGGCCCAGACUCCUACGGGAGGCAGCAGUAGGGAAUCUUCCGCAAUGGACGAAAGUCUGACGGAGCAACGCCGCGUGAGUGAUGAAGGUUUUCGGAUCGUAAAGCUCUGUUGUUAGGGAAGAACAAGUGCGAGAGUAACUGCUCGCACCUUGACGGUACCUAACCAGAAAGCCACGGCUAACUACGUGCCAGCAGCCGCGGUAAUACGUAGGUGGCAAGCGUUGUCCGGAAUUAUUGGGCGUAAAGGGCUCGCAGGCGGUUUCUUAAGUCUGAUGUGAAAGCCCCCGGCUCAACCGGGGAGGGUCAUUGGAAACUGGGAAACUUGAGUGCAGAAGAGGAGAGUGGAAUUCCACGUGUAGCGGUGAAAUGCGUAGAGAUGUGGAGGAACACCAGUGGCGAAGGCGACUCUCUGGUCUGUAACUGACGCUGAGGAGCGAAAGCGUGGGGAGCGAACAGGAUUAGAUACCCUGGUAGUCCACGCCGUAAACGAUGAGUGCUAAGUGUUAGGGGGUUUCCGCCCCUUAGUGCUGCAGCUAACGCAUUAAGCACUCCGCCUGGGGAGUACGGUCGCAAGACUGAAACUCAAAGGAAUUGAC
rnacentral:rRNA from 1 species